GGUACAGAGUUAAUCGUCAGUUUUGAUCGUGGCUCAGCUGAGUGAAGUUGCUGGCACUCGACUUACCAGUGGCAAAUACGUUACAAUUUAAUUGAUUCCACUUGGUCGAAUCGCCGAACCGCCAAGAGAGUGAUACAAGAGUUUCCGGUGAAGGGGAAAUGAAUCACGAUUGGCGCCUGGUGAAUGUCAAGUGUUGAACCGUGGCUAAGGCCAAGGAAAAGGGAGGAAACAAAAUCCGUCAAAGAAGAACGUUGCAAAAGUGUCAACUUGUGGAAAAUUUGCCGAGGAAUUUGUAGUGUGACCCGGAAAUUUACGCUGGAAUUCCAACGAAAAAAAUAAAGCUAUUCUAAGAUACUGUUCCGCUACUAAAAAGAGCGUUUCGAAAUGAGCGAUAUAUGCACGACCGGCAGUAUUCCCCAUCAUCAUCGUCAUCGGUGAAGGCCACAGACUGUUGAAAGUGUGGUGGGCAAAGAAUUCACGCUGCGACAACGAAGAACCGUCCAAGAAAAAAAAAAUCAAGAGUAAGAAGUAUAAAAAACAAAAAGAAGAAUCUCAUAAGAAUGAACGAAUGAAAAAAGGAACAUUCAACGCCAAUAACGGAAAAAGAGUUAUACGGGGGUGAUAUGUUAGAGAAGUGCUAAAAAGAGAAGUGAAAAAAAUAUAGAA